rnacentral:rRNA from 1 species
GACGAACGCUGGCGGCGUGCUUAACACAUGCAAGUCGAACGGAAAGGCCCUGCUUUUGUGGGGUGCUCGAGUGGCGAACGGGUGAGUAACACGUGAGUAACCUGCACUUGACUUUGGGAUAACUUCAGGAAACUGGGGCUAAUACCGGAUAGGAGCUCCUGCUGCAUGGGGGGGGUUGGAAAGUUUCGGCGGUUGGGGAUGGACUCGCGGCUUAUCAGCUGGUUGGGGGGGUAGUGGCGUACAAAGGCUUUGACGGAUAGGCGGCCUGAGAGGGUGACCGGCGUCAAUAGGACUAAGAGAGGGACCAGACUCCAACGGGACGCAGCAGUGGGGAGUUUUGCACAGUGGGCGGGAGCCUGAGGCGACAACGCCGCGUGCGGGAUAACGGCCUACGGGUUAUAAACCGCUUUGUCAUGUGACGAGGAGUGAUUGACGGUAAUGGGUAAAGAAGCCCCGGCUAACUACGUG